rnacentral:lncRNA from 1 species
CUCGUGUCACCUGAGAACUGUGCAGACUUUCCAUUAUUGGAGGAUAUUAAAGGCAGCUGAGCGAAUUGGCUUGACCCCUUAUUGGAUAUCCAGGAUCAAUGGAAAUCAGAGAAAGUGAGUUGCAUAUGGAAUGAGCCCGUUCCCCAGAGGCCAGGCCCUCUGUCUUGCCAUGGAUGCUGGAAGGAAGCCGUGACAGAGCAAAGCAGAAGCCGUCAGGGAAAGAAGAGGAAGCAUUUGACAACAUGUGACAGGACAACAUUCUACCUACAUGUGAAAAGUUGGUCCCCUUGCUGCUUGUGAACUCCUUUCAAGUACUGGAAGAUCACA